CUUAACGCUUCCCUUCAGGAUGGGGCCACGCAUAAUCCAGAGUGCAGUGCAUCAGCCUAUAGAGGGCGCUCUUAAGUAUCAUAGCCAGAUGUGUUUGCUUAAAGAGGAAACAUCUUUAAGAAGUGAAAGCUGAAGAAUGGGGCCUAAGAUCAAACUUCAAGGUGUUGGUGGCCUAAACGCCUGCCAUCAAAGUAACACAACAGAAUGAUAACUUGAACCAUAUCUGGUGUGACAACAAUUUGAAAAGCGCCACCCAUCCUCUCUGAGACCACAAACAGCGCUGAAGGCAGUGAACCAAGACUUACAAACAAGGGUGUAGACCAAGGAAAAUGCUGGGGGCCAGAGGAGGAGAAAGCAAGAAGAUAGAAACACCAUAGUUUCAAGAGGGAGGGGAGCAGAAAGCCGCCAGCUCUCCAAAAAACAAGAAGCAAAACCCAGAACUCAAACCUCAUGAAAGUAUCACGAGGUUGAAGCCUUUAAAAGGUGUUUUUACAGCAGAUUUUAGAGACUUCUCACCUUACCAACGGUUAUAAACCCGUAUCCUUGCAAAUUCAGCAGUAGAGUCAUUAGAUUGCCCUCUCAGCCUCUGCACGUGAAGGGUCUCAGGGCUUUUCAGGACAUCUUUAGGGUCAGGUUUCGUGAAAUAGGUAGGUUGGGCCAGCUUUCUGGGGACUCUAAGCAACCUUGGAGAAAAUGGGCAGGAGUAAAUAAAGGUAUGCCAGCUUGCUUUUUCCAGUGGGGACUUGGCAAAUGCCAAAAACAGUAUAAAUAUUAUAUUCCCAUCUUCUAAUAUCAUGGAAACCCAUGGUGGCAAUGGGGCGCAGGGCUCACUAGCCACCCUGAGGUGAAGAAGUGGCCCCUCAGAGAUCUGAAGCUGGUUAGCAAGAGUUCACCAGGGCCUAGCUCCUUGUCCCUCAGGGAAAGCCCCUGGGUGCUAUAGCCCACCACCUGGAAGGGGCAGCCCCUGGAGAAAUGUUAGAAUUCUGGGUGAAUUAUUUUCUUAUGAAAUUUCAUCCAAAGUUUUAACAAAGUACCAAAUAGGAGAGUUGUUAAGUAUUGUGAGUGAGUGAGGUGGAGGAAGCAGAGCGGGGAAGGGGUGGCUCCACUCUCUCACUAUAUUCACUGCUCAUCCUAGAGAUGACCUAGUGUCAAAAACGUUGCAAAUGCAACCAGCUGCCUGUUGCAUCCAUGUAGUUCAGUUGUUGCUAUUUACAGGGUAGUAUAAAUGCCCGGUGCUGCUAUGAACCAAGGUGCUGAGUAUCAAAUGUUCCUGGAAGAGCACCUAGUAGUGUUUCAUUGGAUGGUUUCUAGUAAAAACUUUAUGCAAAAGUAAUAUGGUAUUGCUGAUUAUAGGUAUUAUCUGAUAAUAAUAAUCCUGUCAAGUACUUGCUUGGGCCAGAUCACUCUGUGAAGGCAGAAAGUUGGCAAUGCUUGUCUUAAAUGCAAGAUUCUUUCUCUUUUCUUCCUCCCUCCCUCCCUCCUAUUCAACCAUCCUUUAUUCACCCUUGGAAAAAUUUGGGCUCUGCAUUCACUCUUGCACAAUCCUGUAAUCUCAUGGUUUACUUUAUGAUGACAAUAUUAAUGACAAUAAAGGCACAUUUUCCCUAAGA